rnacentral:rRNA from 1 species
CGCGUAGGCGGCCAGGCAAGUCGGAUGUGAAAUCCCUCGGCUCAACCGAGGAACUGCAUCCGAAACUGCCCGACUUGAGUCCCGGAGAGGGUAGCGGAAUUCCCAGUGUAGCGGUGAAAUGCGUAGAUACUGGGAGGAACACCAGUGGCGAAGGCGGCUACCUGGACGGUGACUGACGCUGAGGCGCGAAAGCGUGGGGAGCAAACAGGAUUAGAUACCCUGGUAGUCC